rnacentral:rRNA from 1 species
AGCGAACGCUGGCGGCAGGCCUAAUACAUGCAAGUCGAACGGCUCUUCGUAGCAGUGGCGGACGGGUGAGUAACACGUGGGAACGUGCCCUUUGGUACGGAACAACUGAGGGAAACUUCAGCUAAUACCGUAUGUGCCCCCAUUCUUAGCGGGAUGGGUGGGAAAGAUUUAUCGCCAUUGGAGCGGCCCGCGUUGGAUUAGCUAGUUGGUGGGGUAAAGGCCCACCAAGUCUACGAUCCAUAGCUGAUCUGAGAGGAUGAUCAGCCACACUGGAACUGAGACACGGCCCAGACUCCUACAGGAGGCAGCAGUAGGGAAUCUUGCGCAAUAGACGAAAGCCUGACGCAGCCAUGCCGCGUGAAUGAUGACGGUCUUAGGAUUGUAAAAUUCUUUCACCGGGGAAGAUAAUGACGGUACCCGGAGAAGAAGCCCCGUCUAACUUCGUGCCAGCAGCCGCAGUAA